rnacentral:lncRNA from 1 species
CUUUAACUGACGACCUGCCCCAUAGGUACAUGUAAUUAGUACAUAUAACGUCUUUACGGUGAUUUGUCACUUUGAUGGAUUAAAUGAUUCAAAAACGUGUGAAAAUAUAAACAGUUACAAAACGCCGCUUCAAUUGACAGUGUCAGAAAGGCUUUGAUGAAACAUUGUUACAAACUAUCAUUUCCAGUUACAAAAGACCGCCUUUACUGACCGUGUCAUUCGGGUUUUAAAAAAGAAAUAGUUAGAAUCCAACGUGUCCAGUUAUAAAAGACCGCUUUUACUGACUGUGCCAUUAGAUUUUAAAAUGAGAAAUAACUAGAAACCACCGUGUACAGUGACAAAAUGCCAUUUUUACUGACCGUGCCAUUAUGGUUUUGAAAAAGAAAUAGUUUGAAACCACUGUGUCCAGUUACAAAAGAUCGCUUUUACUGACCGUGUCAUUAAUAAGGUUUUGAAAAAGAAAAGUUAGAAACCACCGAGUCCAGUUACAAAAGGCUGACUGAGCCAUUACGGUUUAAAAAAAGAAAUACUUUGAAAUAAUCGUAUCAAUUUACAAAAGACCGCUUUAACUGACCGUGCCAUUUGAGUUUUAAAAAGAAAAAGGGGACUCUGCGAGGUCUACGUACUUACUACUGUUACAACUAGCAAGUCAACACUGUGGUUAUGGGUUCGAACCCCGCUCGUACGGGUCCACCCGACUCCAAUCUUGAUUGACUAGAAAUAUCAGUUUUUCUAUCGCAGGUCGGUGGGUUUUUUUCCGGAUGCACCGGCUUCCUCUGCCAUUAAAAACUGUCCGCAGCGAAAAAGCCCCAAAGCGGUGCCUAAAAGUGGCGUUAAAACACAGAAAAUAGAUGAAUAACAAAAAAAUAGAUAAAAUCAAACGUGUCCAGUUACAAAACGCCGUUUUUACUGACCGUGUCAUGCGGAUGUUAUAAAAGAAAUAGUUAGAAUCUGACGUGUCAAGUAUCAAAAGGCGGCUUUCGCUGACUGUGUCAUGAUGGUUUGUAAAAAAGAAAAAGUUAGAAAGAAACGUCCUUAGUGACAGAAAGCCAUUUUUAUUGACCGUGGCAUGAAGAUUUUGAAGAAGAAAUAGUUAGAAACCACAUUGCCUAGUAACAAAAGGACUUUUGUCUGACCGUAUUAUGUAGGCUGAAAAGAAGAUUUAGUCAUUGACACAAUAGAUUCCAGUAUAAGAAGCCAUUUAUAAUAAUUUUCAAACAAAACGUCGUAUUUACGUAAUGAACAAUAAUAAACUGACGUGAACAUUAAAAAA